CCAAAAUGCAAGUUUGGAGAAGCACACACACAAGUGCCGGGGCUUCUCCCGUUU
rnacentral:tRNA from 1 species